AUUUUGGACAAUGGGCGAAAGCCUGAUCCAGCAAUGCCGCGCGAGUGAAGAAGGCCUUCGGGUUGUAAAGCUCUUUUGUCAGGGAAGAAACGGUGAGGGCUAAUAUUCCUUGCUAAUGACGGUCCCUGAAGAAUAAGCACCGGCUAACUAAGUGCCAGCAGCCGCGGUAAUACGUAGGGUGCAAGCGUUAAUCGGAAUUACGGGGCGUAAAGCGUGCGCAGGCGGUUUGGUAAGUCUGAUGUGAAAUCCCCGGGCUCAACCUGGGAAUUGCAUUGGAGACUGCAAGGCUAGAAUCUGGCAGAGGGGGGUAGAAUUCCACGUGUAGCAGUGAAGUGCGUAGAUAUGUGGAGGAACACCGAUGGCGAAGGCAGCCCCCUGGGUCAAGAUUGACGCUCAUGCACGAAAGCGUGGGGAGCAAACA
rnacentral:rRNA from 1 species